rnacentral:rRNA from 1 species
AUGUCUUCCUCCUCCGGCGUAUCUCACCCUAGCCUUAGUGGGCAGGUCAUCGAGAAACUCUCCCACACGAAUUACGUGCUAUGGCGCACACAGAUCACACCACAACUUCGUGGCGCCGGUGUCUUCUAGUAUGUUGAUGGCACCCUGCCGGAGACGACCAAGCUUCAAGCCGCCAAGGACAAGGACGGCAAGGACACAUUUGUGCCCAACCCUCUCCACCCCAUCUGGGUCCGAGAGGACCAGCAGGUGCUUGGCUUCCUGCUGAGCAACCUCUCCAAAGAGGUGCUCGUCACGGUGACCAUGGUCACCACGGCGCAAGCACUCUAGACGACGCUGGCGGGCAUGUACUCAUCGCAGUCGUUGAGCCGCGUCAACAACAUCUGUACCUUGCUCAUCAAGGCGCGGAAGGGCAACCAGUCCGCCGCCGCCUACUUCACCACCAUGCGCGGACUCGCGGGUGAGCUAGCGGCGGCCGGCAAACCCAUCCAGGACGAUGAGCCGAUCUCGUACAUCCUCCACAGGCUAGACUAG